rnacentral:lncRNA from 1 species
AGGUCGGAAUAUCGAAUCCUUUGCUCUACCGAGGUAAGAAAGAUCCAUCUAUUUAGGGUUCAGGUUCUUGAAAGUUGGGAUUUUUUGAUGUGGCGCAACUAAUGGCAAGUUGGAGUUCUUGAAAGUUGGAUUCUGGAUGGUUGAUGAAGCUUUGCCUUUUUGUCAUCUUAAGCUCAUUUAUUUGAGAUGCUUCUGCUCCAGCAUGAAGUUCCCAUGCAGCCAAUAAUUUCAGCAUUGGGAACU